ACUCUCGCUCUUCUCUUCUCCGGGUAGGAAUACCACAUAGUGUAUGAUUUUGUAAUUAGUAGAAAAUGACAGAAAUUUAAAACUAAUUUCUAUCUCUUACUUUCUACUUGGAGAUAGGAAACUCUAAGGCAGGAGGACAGUGAUGUUAUGGAACAUUCAGACUUGUUUACAACCUAGUGGAUAUUAGACCCUUAAAAUGUCCAAGUGACAGUGAACUUCAGACCAAUUUCUUCAUAAAAUAUCCCUCAAUCUGAAUUGCCUGAUUGUUUCUUCAUAUUUGGAACCAGGUAAACCUCUGAUCAUGAAAACCACAUCAGUGAUGAGAAUGCUUUUCUACCUUCUAAACUGGAAGUGAAUUUUAGGAGCUAGAAGAAGGUUAUGACAGGAACAAGGCAUGAAAUUACAGAAGUGCAAAGCCCAAGACAUGCUCUUCUGACCAAAUGUUGGCCUGCUUUUCCCAAGAGGCAGUUACUUGUGUUGAUCUGAAGUUCCUAGCUGCCAUUAUUGGAAAUGGAAACCCCUUGAAUUAAUUUUUUUUUAAUUGAGGUGAAAUUUGCUAACAGUGAAAUGCACAGAGCUUGGAUCUACAGUUCAAUGGGUUUUGAGAAAUGUGUGUUCCUAAUUAACCAACAUCCCAGCCAGGAUACAGAACAUUUCCGCCAUGCCCCCUUUCAGUCGAUGCCCUUGUCUCAGCAACACCGAUUUCUAACACUCCAGUUUCCUUAGACGUGCCUGUUCUUGAACUUCCUUCCAACGGACUCACCAUCUGUGUUCUUUGCGUCUGGUUUCAUUCACUCAACAUAAUAUUUAUGAGAAUCAUGUGUGGUUUUGCAUGUAUCACCAGUUCAUCCUCUUCUAAUUCAGUGUAGCAUUUCACAGACCACAAUCUGU